CGCGUGCAGGAUGAAGGCUUCGGGUUGUAAACUGCUUUUGUACGGAACGAAAAGACUCUGGUUAAUACCUGGGGUUCAUGACGGUACCGUAAGAAUAAGCACCGGCUAACUACGUGCCAGCAGCCGCGGUAAUACGUAGGGUGCAAGCGUUAAUCGGAAUUACUGGGCGUAAAGCGUGCGCAGGCGGUGAUGUAAGACAGAUGUGAAAUCCCCGGGCUCAACCUGGGAACUGCAUUAGUGACUGCAUCGCUGGAGUGCGGCAGAGGGGGAUGGAAUUCCGCGUGUAGCAGUGAAAUGCGUAGAUAUGCGGAGGAACACCGAUGGCGAAGCAAUCCCCUGGGCCUGCACUGACGCUCAUGCACGAAAGCGUGGGGAGCAAACAGGAUUAGAUACCCUGGUAGUCCACGCCCUAAACUAUGUCACUGGUUGUUGGGAAUUCCUUUCUCAGUA
rnacentral:rRNA from 1 species